rnacentral:lncRNA from 1 species
GAAUAUGACGCCACUCGAGAUAUGUACUCCGACGCAGAGGACUCGUCCAAAAUUUUCGAAAUUAAAACAAAAUUAUGGAAGGCAAAGCAAGGAGAAAGGGAAGUCACUGAAUACUAUAUGGAGAUGACCAGUUUAUGGCAAGAAUUGGACCUCAGCACCGAUGAACAGUGGGAUUGUGCAAGUGACAGUGUUCGAAACAAGAAAAGGGUGUAAAACGAGCGUGUGUAUGAAUUUUUGGCUGGGUUAAAUAGGGAACUUGACGAUGUGAGGGGCCGCAUCCCUAGUCGUCGCCCACUCGUGACACCUUUGCCGAAGUGAGGCGUGAAGAGAGCCGACGAUCGAUCAUGUUGAAGAAGGAAGAAUCUGGACCUGAAGACAGUGUUGAUGGAUCGGCCCUUUCAUCCAAUGCUAUUGGGCCUAACAGGUCAUACGAGAUUGGGCCAAAGGGAGCAAUUGCCAAAAUAAAAAAAAUAAAAAAUUGCACAUGAUGGGUGUAACGACCCGGAUCUCUCGCCAAGCCAUUAGCUUACGUACUGUCCGCUUUGGGUGGGUCUUGCGCCCACUUAUUCCUCACGGCCCCAAUUGGUACCAGGAUUCAACUUAAGUCUCUCUUAUGUAGAGGUCAAGAGUUCAAAUCUUGGGAGACGCCAUAGAAAGCCGUGAGGGGUGAGAGGGCGCAAGGCCCACUCAAAACGGACAGUACGUAAUCUAACGGCUUGGACGAGAGGUCCGGCUCGUUACAAAAAAAUGUACCAGGAUUCAACUUAAGUCUCUCUUAUGUAGAGGUGAAGAGUUCGAAUCGUGGGGGACACGAUAGAAAGCCGUGAGGGGUAAGUGGGCGCAAGGCCCAUCCAAAGCUGACAGUACGUAAACUAACGGUUUGGGCGAGAUGUCCGGUCGUUACAAUGGGCCUAAAUUUGUUGGGCUUGAUUCAGGACCCCAAAUACAUAGGGAAACCAAAAAAUUUGGAUCCAACCCAAGACAACAAACGGGUCGUCCAUGGUAUGACCACUGUCGAAAACCUGGACAUAAGGAAGAUACGUGCUGGGAUUUGCAUGGAAAACCAUCCGAUUGGAAACCUAGACUAAAUACUAGAAAUCAAAGCUACCAAGCUACAGUCAAUUCAUCUGAUAUACAAAAUUUCACUCCAAGUUGUGCAUUCAAUCCUCCAACUUUCAAUCACCUAGCUCGUCAAGGUCCUUG